rnacentral:misc_RNA from 1 species
GUAGGUGAACCUGCGGAAGGAUCAUUAACACGUAUCCAACGUUAAAAACCCUGUGAACCUUCAACCUGCUCUUGCAGCCCGUGUGAAGCAGCAAUCUCGGUAAAUCAAGUGGGAGGAAAGCUUUUGAUUCGAGACCUCUGCUCCACACGCGACGGCGCUGCAAUCGAAGCGGUGGACGCAAUUUGGCAUGUUUUCCCCAAGCCGCCAAUGAAUUGGAAAGUGUCAUUGGACUCCGGUGCAAGGAGGACGACUAAUUCCCGGUGCUAGAGGUCGAUCACCGACCGGCAACAUGCCCUGUGCCGCCCGUGCACCUAAUGACCCCUCUGAAGCAUUAAUGGCCCCGAGGAAACUCCGGGUAUCAAAAAACCGAACAACUGUUAACAAUGGAUAUCUUGGUUCUC